CCUAUUUUUGCCUGAAAAAGACUCUGAAUUUAAGACAAUCUCCUGAUUUAUAUCAUCAAAGAACUUGAAUAAAAACUAGUCUUGGAUUCAGUUAGCACAUGUUCCCGAAGGAUGGGGUCCCACCUGGAGAGCAGGAGAUAUCAACCAGGAGGCAGAGGAGUUUCACAAAGAAUAUAGAAUGAAGCAGACAUCAGGCAAUGUAAUGGUACCAUAUCUCUUCUUGGCCCUACGGCUGCAGACAUACAUUUUACAAUGCAGUGCUUAGACAUCCUGUUGUAAUAUCUCCCAUUUGCCUUUCACCUUCCUUAAGUUUAAAAAAAAAAAAAGGGUGUGACCUCCAAAUAUCCAACUGACUUGCACAGGUUUACCUAGUUAGUUCUAGUAAGGCUAAGAUAGGAUUUAAACACACGGACUUCCAGUGCCAAACUAACACA